UAUUAUAUAUAUGAUCAUGACUACUAUAAUUGUACUUUUAAUUACUUUACUUCAUGAAGUAGAACUUUGAACUGUUUGAAAAAGUGUUACAUAAAAACUUCAGUGCAUACAUUUUAACAUUUUUUAAUACAGUACAAACUUUUUAGGUAUGAUUAGAUAAGGCGCUGUUAAAUUACAUGACAGGUGACCCGUAAAAUUUUAUGGUUCUGUUUCUACUUAUUUGGAGGACUUCCGGCAUACAUGGUAUAACAAUAAAUCAGUACUCCUCUCAAGUACUCUAUGAAAAUGCUACGUUCUUAAUAACAAGCGUAAAUUGAAUGCGUCAACUUUUAAUAAAAAAACUAAGUUUUUUUUUACUGCGAAGUUGGAUAAAUACAUAACGUAACAGUCGAUGCGUCAAGAAACUAUUUUUUUUAAUUGCGAUGGAAAUACACGUCUGUAGAAUUUAAAUAAUAAUUAUAGGCGUUAUUUUAUCUAGGAGCUAUUAUUCUACAAUUUUCUGUGGGACAAACGUAUGAUAAAUCGAAUUGUAAUACAUUUAAUCGGAAGAAGGAAAGGAAGACAAGAUUGAAAACUGGUGAACAACCGUUGAAAGGAUUUCAUCACUGUCUUACUGCAAUAUAAUUGUGCACAAUCAUCUGUUUCUUGGAUUACAUCUUAUAUUACAUUCUAAGCAUAUAAUGUUGCAUUAUAUUAGAAUAUGUAAUAACAGGUCUGGCUCGACUUCGUUGAAACGUGAAAGGUGGAUAGAUAGUCAAGUGCCGUAUAAAGAUUGAGAGUAAAUUAUCAGGUUGUUAAGGAUUUUGACUAUAUCGGUUUCAAACAAUUUAGAACGUUAACAAUUCUAAAAAUAAAUUGUAGCACAUGUCGUAAUUAAAUUAGGUAAGAGUUAGGUUAGAUCAGCGUUAGGUGAUUCAGUUAAAUCGUAAUUGAAUUAAUACAAAAGGUUUUAUUAUAAAUCAUUACUUCUUUCCUAUAGUUAAACUAGUUUUAAGAUUUACAAAAGUAUCUUUCUACGAAAAUGUAUUACUUUGAUAUUAGAGGAAAAGAUAGACUAACAAUGUUAUAAUUUAUAUUGUAAAAUAAUAUUUUUGUUUCUGUAAUAUGUUGAACUGUUUCUGGCUUAGGUUGUGAUACAAUAGCCUUCUACGAAAGCCGCUUUCAGUCUCUACAAUUAAAGCUUGUAUAUGAGAGUGUUACGAUAAAAAAGACAAUUGCAUAAUCAUAAGCGUUUGCGAUGAUUAAUAAUAGUUGUUUCUCUAUUUUAUAGGUACUGUUGAAGAGGAGUGCGAUGCACGUUGUAUGAAAUCGUUGCACGUGAUGUCUUCUGGCAGAUAUGUUCGAUUAAUCUAUCUGGUCGAGAGCAAUGAUUCAUCGUAUUCGCGAAAAUUUACACUUUACACAAGCGAGAAAAUCUGGUGUGAAGUUGCGCGCAAAACUUUUUUCUCGUUGCCUCUAACCACAAGUUUAUACUUAGAACUGCUAUUUGCAACAGAUAUUUAUAUGUAUGAUAUUCUUUUUUAAGGGUCAUACAAUUUAAGAAACUGGAAGGCCACAUUUCGGACGGCAAAUAUACUCUAUAAUUCAUGUCCACUUCAAGCAUUUGUACAGGAACAAGUCGUUCUUUAAAAGCACUUGAUUUGGCACAAAUGAAGAAAUCAAUACGGUUUCUAUAAAAGGUUUCUCACGCUACGGAAGCUAAGGAUAGACAAUGAAGAAUAGUUUCUUUUAUUAAUUUCUUUCGGACGUCGAGUGUAUAGUCAACGUCAUUUAACGACUGCAUCAUACAAAGUUAUGACAGCCACUCAAUUAUGUGCAUGACAAUAAUCACUUUGUUAUUCAACUUUUUCUAAGAAAAAAAGAAGUUAAGUUUAUCAAAUGUGGACUUAGAAACAAAAUAGAUGUAGCUGACAAAAAGUUUAUAUAUUACGACGAAUCUUCUAAUACUAUUAUAAAUUGGAAGACAUUUUCGAAGACGGUAAUUUUUUACGAUCCAUACUUUGGGAAUCUCUGGCAGGAAAUAAAUAACUGUAAUAUUUCUGGCUAUUCACUGCUGACCUUGGAUGACCUUGAGCAGUUCAUGUCCCGCUGAAUAUAUAGUGCACAGAUUACGUUUUUAAAAUAAAAAGCUAGAAACUACGUAUAGAAACCGAAGAUGGCAAAUAAUACUGUUAGGCGUUUCUGCAUAAAUUUUGCGUAUUUGGCCGUAAAAUAGCCAUUUUUUAAAAAUAAGUACUCUGAAAUAGAAUUACAUUUAAAUGAUUAGACCAUGAAACAUAAAAAAUGUAUUGUUAUUGCAUUUUUCAUAUGAUGAUUAGACAUAUCAGUGAAUAUUAAAAUGACAGAAAGGAUACUUAUGUCAUACACGAAUCAACUCACGUAAUGCAUUUACAAAUAUAAAUGUAAAGUAACCGUAACGUUUUUAAAGAACAUCGCAAAAUCAAUAUUCAUUCAUUUGAUGUCAUCAUUUUGAAACGAUGAGAUUCAGUAAAAUAUCAGAUCCACCAUCGACAAAUUGUAUAUAUCGAUAUAAUUUUAUAUCUAAAUAGUUAUUGAAAAAUAAUAUUACGUGACUGAACAAAAAUAUUAAGAAAAUAGAAGACAACGUUUAUAUGCAACAAUAAUAAAAAAGAAAUAUUUAGAGUAACGUGUACUUCAUAAUGUCAUGCUAUGUUACUUAUCGAUCUGUUCGGAUAGAUAUAUACAUAUAGUGGUGCAUUCUUAACAAAGGUAUAAAAAAAGCGCUUCAGGAAAUAAAACUAUGGCACGCGGCUAUUGUGACUAUUGUUCCAUUGCCACUGACGUGGAUAUAUUAUAUCUAUAAUCAUUGGCGUAACUAAAAGUUUUACUAGAGUGGAAUCGCUCAAAAUUUAGGAUGAGAAUUAAAAAAUUUUUAAUAGAUGAAAUCUUACAACCUUUCAUAGCGCACAAGAAAGGCGAGAUUGUAUUUUAGGGGAAGAAGGAGGGGAUAGGUACUAUUUUGUACAAAGUUACGCCACUAGCUAUAAUACUUAAGUAUACGUUCGUACUUUGCUAUUGCAGCACGUCAACAAUGUACCAAGAAAAGCCACUGCUACCUUUUUCUUACGCAUUCCAUGAACAGAUACGAAGAGCAGUUCCCGUUCACAUUUUACUGCAUUGCACAAUAUAUGACUAUUAAGAUCGUACCUUUGAACAUGCUUGAUUAAUUACUCGCUUACGCAUUAACAUAAUUGUAUACUACCACGUGCCGCUUAAAUGAAUUCUUAUUUACACUUCUCCAGUCACGAAUUCUAAACGUUAAAUUCGAUUACAUGCAAAAAGCAUCUAUUAAUUUUCUUUUCAUUUAAGCGUUUUUAAUAAAUAGGAUUAUACAUGAGUAUCUAAAUAUUAUACAUGUAUCGUUUUCACGUGUAUGGAAACGCCUUCUGUUUAAUCUCACCAUGAUUUUCUUAGAUCUAUUUUUAAGGUUAGAGGAUCAAGAUCAUGUUGCUUGUAACAUGCGGGUGAUACGAUUCAAAAAUUUCUCCCUAACGUAUAAAGUUAUACUCUUUCUUGUGUAAUACCUGCACGUGAUGAAAUUGUAUACUCAUUUAGUCUGAUGCAAGUACAGAUAUUACAAAAAAUUGAAUUUUUAUUCGUUAAAUUUGAGACGUCAGCGCCCAUACAACCCGUUGUCAGAUACGAAAAAUAUUUUACCAAAGGAAACCAGAUUUCAAAACAGAUAAAGAAAGGUGUGGUAAAACAGAGUGACUGGAUUAGCUUCCGGCUGAUAUAUGUUGAAUGUCAGAAAAAAUACUUAAUGUAUGAGGCAUAUUACGAAACAAUUUAUCGAGAUAGUGAACUGACGCAAAACCAGGAAACGUUGUUUGUGACAAUCAGCUGCACGCGUUUAUCGAGUUCAAACGUGAGAGUAUAAUACUUGUUUUGUGUCCCACAAAAAGAGAAUGAAUCCUGAGCUAAACUUAUUGCAGUUCGUGUAAAUUGGACAUUGGUACACAAUGAUCGAUAAAAAUGCGACAAGAAUAAAAUAUCAAAAUCCAACUCGUUACUUGGUUAUGGUUUCUAAAGUAUACGUAAUAAAAGAUUUUAUAGGUAAUUUUAUACAUCAUUGUACGCAUUCAUUAUAGAUCAGUGAGAAAGUAUUUUCAUUGUGUAUGCAGUGAUUUGACGUAAGGCCCAACGAGCCGUGCCGUCUCAUCGACCGUGGACUUUCGAUUUAGCAUGAAAGGAUUCACACGAUUUCGUUGUCAUAUUUAUAGUUUCAUGUAAACUACGGACUACAGCAGGCUACCCUAGGGAAGAUGAGAUAGAAAAACCCUAGGAUCCGUUUUUUUGAAUUCGUGUAAAAUAAGCAUGCAUGUAAAUCACAACCAUUAUAGUGACUAGUGAGGAUUUUUUCCCCUAGUGAAGUCUGUUAUGCUUGAUACGAUUCCAUAAAGACGAAUUUAAUAUAUCAAAGCUAAAUCUAAAGAACAUUCUAUACAACAGAUUAAAACUGUCAGUGAAACUGAUUAAAUUUAAAGUCUUUCGUUGUAUUUAAUAAAUCAUGACAUAGGAUCAGAAAACAUGAUGGAUGUUUAUUUCACAAACAAAUGGGAUCAUAAAUAUUGUGAACUGAAGUUUUCAAAAAAUACGACAGUUGACAAAAAGGAAAUUAAUCAAGAGUUUUCACUGCAUAGACGGUAAACGCUGGAUUUAUUGAUUUUAAUUUCGACGGGAGUGAUACAAAUAGACAAAUGACGAAGCAACUCUUUGAAACACACCUUGAAAACAAAUUGACGCAGUCACACAGGCUGUCACAUAUCAAAAACCAAACAUCAAAAACACAUUUGUUGCAAAAAUGGUAUCAUAGCAAAUGAAUUAGCUAUCAAAAAUUGGACACGUGGUAUUUCACCGAUGAAUAUGUGACACGCGCACACAUCGCGAUGUGUGGACUGUGGAUGUAACGAACACAACUACGAGAGGCGUAGAGAGGAACGAAGAGAGGAAUUAAAAGAGAGAGAGAGAAAAGAGAGAGACGAAUAACUGUAACACCAGAACCGUCACUGUCGACGAAAUACUACUGACUGUUGGCGUCGGAUUUCAAUCAGGUUAUGCAAACCCUAUGAACUCCCCACUCUUCUUUCUUUCCUCAUAUACCUACGCACGUGACUCUCCAAUGCGUUCUACAUUUAUACAAACUGUUGUAUACACGACUGUCUGUGUAAACGCGUCAUACACAAUUUGUAUAUCGCCAUUGGCGUAACUAAAAUUUUUGUUUGGGGCAGGUUCUCUGAUACUGAACUGCUCCCCUGAUACCAAGAUAGCACAAUCAACCUACUUUUUGAUACAAAUUCUGUUAAUAAUUGCGCAACCAAUAAUUCUUUCAAUUCUUUUGAAAAUAGUAAUAACAAGUGCAGUUAAAUGUAACUACAUUUUGUUAUCAUAAAAGUGAACAUAUUUUUUCAUCAGAUAAGUAAUUAUUUAGGUUUCAAAGCUGGUAGUUAUUGUUAUGAUGCCACAUUAUGUUUGUCCCUGUUGCAUUGUUUAGCAUUUUCUACCAGCUCUUCAUAAUGCAUACUAAUCUGAUACCCCAAGAACAGCUGUUAUAACUGUGCAGUAGAUUUUUUACGCGCGCAAUUCAAAGGGCGGGAAAUUCGAUUCGUGCCGCAAAUCAUUUUCAAACAAUCAAUAUGUUUAUUCAUUAUUCACAAAAUUCCUGUACAAAUAUUCGAUUUAAUUUUAGCAGAUCGAUAAUAUUUUUAUCAUCAAUCAUAAAAAGUCUGUCUCAGAACAAUUAAAAUUUAUCUCUGCAAAUUGAUGAAAUGAAUCGAUGUUUUUGAUGAUUAGAUCAGAUAUAUUUUGAAGUAUUUACAAAUUUCGAGUAGAUUACAAUUGAACUUUGAUUGUUAUCAAUAUAUUUAUCGUGAAAAGUUGAUGUGAGUGCUGUGCUUUCUAAUCAAUGCGACAAGGGAACAGCUGCCGUUAUUUUACAAUAAUUGUUGGCGUCCGAUAUUUAUCAGACAUUUAAUCAGACAUAUAAAUAAUAUAUUUGACGUAUUUAUAGACGUUUCACUGCACUGACACUUGGUAAUUUAUCUUACGCAAAUUCCUCCCGGGAUUAUUUCACGAUCAAAAUUUUUCCAUUUAGAAAUAAAAAUAUAACAAUUGUUAUCGUUAAUAUUUAUUAUAAACUACGUAAUGAAUUUUUAUAAAAUCUUCCAGGUUUUAUCUUCGAACGCUUUCACGUGAUAAAUAGUACACGUUCCUAUUAAUUAGUUAAUUAUCUUCGUACAAAAUUUUGAAAAAUCUUGAGUAAUUAAAUCGUAAGUGCGAUUGUUCGUAGUACAACAUCAAGAUUACAAAGUCUCUAAAAUUUAUCAGACGUUUACAACGACUUCAUCGCGAUUAUUUGCGAUCACCAGAUGUUGUUAAUAUGUACUGUAGAUAGCAAGAGUACUCGAGAUUACGCUCCUAUCUGUUUAAUUAUUCAACGAUCCAAAAAUAUUGGCUGAGCAUAUUAUCGGCUCCGGGGGUGUGGCACAAAUAAAGUAUAAGUACAUACUAACAUUAUCGGGUAUAUGAACCUGUUUUUGUAUUUACAAUGGCACGUUAAAUAAUCAGCAUGUCUCGGAUUUUGAGAUGAUUGAUUAGUGAUUUGAUUUAUUGAAAUCAUUAGGUAAGGAUUGAGUCCUCAGUGUAAUUAUAUUAGAAAUUACUGAAACGUGGUAGAAUCUUGUUAUGCUAUAACAUGGUCGCGUACACUAAUUUACAAAUUUAAGAUUUCAAAAAUGUGGAGGAUUGAAGAUAUAAUAAUUACAGUUAAUAAUUUCAGAAUCUAGUAUUUUGGAAAUGUUAACAAUUUUCAAUGACGCCAAUGGCAACCACAUAUUCUUAAAGACACAACAAUUUCAGUCUUCAUAACUUCGAAUUUAUCACGUUAACAACACAUCGCAAAAUAUUAUUGAAAGUUACGUAAAACAUUAUUGCGAUGUUAAAAACAUUAACAUCUCAAAUUGUUACAAAUUCAAAUGAUUUAUUUUGACGAUCGAUACUGCAACUGUUAUCAAGUGUAACGAUGAAUGUUAAGAUUUUUAUACUUGACCAAGGUCUACUUAUCUUAACGAGGGUCAGACACGUUUUCAAGAUCUAAUCAAGAGAAAAAGAAAGUCUCUUUUCUCGCUGUUAUAUCUUUAAUCUGCUGAUUUGGUAAAAAGAGUUCACUGCAGUGGAGAAAUAGAGAGUUUAAUACUGUUCAGCAAAUAAGAUAAUGUUUAUCAAGGCCACUGUUCACUACAUUAGAUGACAAGAAAACAGUGAUAACUGCAUGAUGUCUGAAUGCGAGAGAUUUAUUUAUCACUGUAUAAGUUGGAUAAACGAUGUACUAGUUCCGGGUCAACGAAUGAAGAUAUAAAUUAACGUCUCCUUUUUAUAAAAUAAUGGAGAUUUGGAGUUACCUUCCUGGUGCCGUUUUCGUUCACGAAAACACUUUGACGAGCCUUGUUCGUAGCCCUAGAAGCGGCACUUCCGG